rnacentral:rRNA from 1 species
GUAGGGAGCAAGCGUUGUUCGGAAUUAUUGGGCGUAAAGAGCGCGUAGGCGGUUUGGUAAGUCUGGUGUGAAAUCCCGGAGCUUAACUCCGGAACUGCAUUGGAUACUGCCUGGCUUGAGUACGGGAGGGGAAAGCGGAAUUCCCGGUGUAGAGGUGAAAUUCGUAGAUAUCGGGAGGAACACCGGUGGCGAAGGCGGCUUUCUGGACCGAUACUGACGCUGAGACGCGAAAGCGUGGGGAGCAAACAGGAUUAGAUACCCUGGUAGUCCACGCCGUAAACUUUGGGCACUAGGUGUUGCGGGUAUUGACCCCUGCAGUGCCGAAGCUAACGCAUUAAGUGCCCCGCCUGGGGAGUACGGUCGCAAGACUA